GAAGAAAGAGGAGGAGGAAGUGGAAGAAGAGGAUGAAGAGGAAGAAGAAGAGGAGGAUACCACAAGUAGUAAAGUAGUAUUGAAGCAAUGAAAUUCUUUUUCAAACUAAAACAACUUUUUUCAUCCUCUUUUUUUUUAUUUUUUAUCUCUUCCCCUCUCUCUCCUUUUCUUUCAUUCUUUUUCUCUC